UGAUUGGGUUUGAUAUGAUUGAGCCCGAUUACAAGAAAAACUUGAUCCUGAUUCGAUCAUGAUUUUGACUCGACUAAUUUCUAAUUAGGUUAGAAAUUUGAUAAGAUAUCUAAAUUUCUAAUUGAACUAGAUUGAUUUCUAUCAGUGGGUUCAAUCUAAAUUUGAUUUGGAUUAGAAUCAGAAUUAGAAAUGAAGAAUCC
rnacentral:lncRNA from 1 species